GACGAACGCUGGCGGCGUGCCUCAUACAUGCAAGUAGAACGCUGAAGGAGGAGCUUGCUUCUCCGGAUGAGUUGCGAACGGGUGAGUAACGCGUAGGUAACCUGCCUGGUAGCGGGGGAUAACUAUUGGAAACGAUAGCUAAUACCGCAUAAGAGUAGAUGUUGCAUGACAUUUGCUUAAAAGGUGCAAUUGCAUCACUACCAGAUGGACCUGCGUUGUAUUAGCUAGUUGGUGGGGUAACGGCUCACCAAGGCGACGAUACAUAGCCGACCUGAGAGGGUGAUCGGCCACACUGGGACUGAGACACGGCCCAGACUCCUACGGGAGGCAGCAGUAGGGAAUCUUCGGCAAUGGACGGAAGUCUGACCGAGCAACGCCGCGUGAGUGAAGAAGGUUUUCGGAUCGUAAAGCUCUGUUGUAAGAGAAGAACGAGUGUGAGAGUGGAAAGUUCACACUGUGACGGUAUCUUACCAGAAAGGGACGGCUAACUACGUGCCAGCAGCCGCGGUAAUACGUAGGUCCCGAGCGUUGUCCGGAUUUAUUGGGCGUAAAGCGAGCGCAGGCGGUUAGAUAAGUCUGAAGUUAAAGGCUGUGGCUUAACCAUAGUACCCUUUGGAAACUGUUUAACUUGAGUGCAAGAGGGGAGAGUGGAAUUCCAUGUGUAGCGGUGAAAUGCGUAGAUAUAUGGAGGAACACCGGUGGCGAAAGCGGCUCUCUGGCUUGUAACUGACGCUGAGGCUCGAAAGCGUGGGGAGCAAACAGG
rnacentral:rRNA from 1 species